CCUCCCCUCCACGGCGGGUGACGUCAUCGCGCAUCCCUGCGACGUCGCCGCGUCCCAAGUAGGAAGGCAGUCUUAGGAGAGUGGACCUUAGGAGAAAAGCGGCUCGGUAUUCUCCAGAGGAAACGCGGGGAGAGAAACCAGUGGAGGGAGGGGAGAGAAGAAGGACCUAGCUGAAUGGGAAGCUGGCGGGAGAAAGGCCAGCUAUGGUUACCUGGGGAGUCUGAGCAGCUUCGGGUCCUUUAUGAAGUGCCCGGAUGCAGCUCCAGCAGCCACGCGCCUUCCACAUUGAGCGCAUCGCCAUCUUGAGAGGGGAGGAGCCGUAGUGACUUGAGUGACGUCUGCCCAGAGAGCCAGUCCCAGAGUUGCAGCUGUUUGGCUUGCUGCGUAAGCGCCCCUGUCUUCCGGGCGUACCUCUGUGCAGCGGUGUACUAGAGUCCGGUCUUUGCCCAGCAGUCCCUGCAAAUCUCGUCUUGCUUGAAACAAUAGAUUAAAACCAGACUGGCAGUUGGGGAACGCUUUCUAUUGCAACCAUGUGUGUCAGAAGAAAGGAUUAGGUUUCCUUGUCCAAGAACAUCAAGGGGAACCUCCACCUCUGCAGACACACCUUUAUUCCUCGAAAAUCCCUUCUUGAAGCACAAUGAUCCACCUAGAGCACUAUGAUACCUGGAGCUAGUAGAGAAAAACAAUUUUAUUUGAGAUGGUGAUGAACCAUGCUAAAAGGAUGUCAUUCCCAGUCGUUCUUGCAGCUAGGUCUGUCUGUAUAAUUUUUUUGCUGUAUAAUACUCCAUUCUAUGAAGGUAACACAAUUUGUUCACCCAUUCUACUGUUGAUGGACAGAUGUUAUUUUAACCAUGGGGCAAAUAUGAAUCAUGUUGCUAUGAGCAUUCUUGUACAUGUAUUGUAGUUGACAAGUACAGGAGUUGCUUGAGCUUAGGUACCCAGAAGUAGAAUUCUGGCCAUAGGGUAUGUAUAACUUCAAAUUUAACAACAGUUUUCAAAACAGGUUGCACUAAUCUGUACUCUCACUAACUGAGAAUUCCAAGAGCUCUACAUUCUCAUCACACCUGACAUUACUAGACUUAAUCAAUUCUAUGAACCUGAUGAGCCUGGGGUAAAAUUUCAUUGUAGUUUUUUAAUUUACAUUUCCUUAAGGUUGAGAGCCUGAGGAAAUGCUAAUUGGCCAAUUAAAAAUGUCCUCUUUUGUGAAUUGUGUCUUUAAGUCUUUUGGCUCUAUCCCUGAUGGACUGAUUUUGUUUUUUACUUAUCUAUUUGUAUGAAUUCCUUUUAUAUUCUGGAUGCUCUUCAUUUGUCAGUUAGAUAUGUUGCAAAUACAUCCUCAAAUUCUGUGAUUUGUUCUUUCCCUUUUUUGUGUGUUUUUAUGGAUAACAUAGUGCAUAAGUUAAAUAUAGUCUAUUAAUCUUUUCCUCUUACGAUUAGUGUUUUUAUGUCAUGUUUAAUAAAUAAUUCUCAUUAUGAAGAUCAGGAAGAUAUACUAUUUUCUAAAGGCUUAAAUAAUUUGCCUUUUAUAUUCAAGUUUAUGAAUUGACAUUUGGUAUUGUUUGAGAGAGUGAUCCAGUUUCAUUUUCCUCUCUCUUCCCCACCAUAUGCAUAUUGAAUUGCCCCAGCACCAUUUAUGAAAAGACUAUAAUUUCCCCACUGACCUGCAGUUCCAUUUCUGUCACAUGUCAAAUUCCUACAUAUAUAUGAUAUUUUGGGGGCUCUCUAAAAGAAUUUUUGUAUAUUGAUUUUGUAUCCAGCAGCUUUUAAAAAUUCUUAUUAAAUAUCGUUAGCUACAGAUAAUAUUGGUUUUUCUACAUAUAUAAUCAUGUCAUCUUCCAAUUAUGAAUUUUGGCUUCUUUUUUUUUUUUUUUUACCAAGUAUCCUUUUACUUAUUAUUUCUGUUUCCUGCCUUAUUGUACUGGUUAAGACCUCUGUUGUAAUGUUAAAAGAAAGUAGAAGAUAGAAAUUGUUGGACAUCUUUCUUGUUACUUACCUCAAAGGAGAUUUUA